CAUCUCCUCUCACAUCAGAAUAAAAGAGCAUCUCUUCUCCAGUACUCCAAUGUGAACUCUGACUGCAACUCUAAGAGGCUAGCAUUUUAAAGCACAACUGAACACCAAGUAGCAGGUGUGUGGCAGCUGCUGACGCCAACAUCAGUUUCCAAGAAUGGAAAAGCUUCUCAUUCUUUUUUCCAUCUGGCUACUACUACAACUCACAAUGCUCUUCCAUCCACCAAUAAAAGAAGUGCUACUAGACAGCCUCUCUCCCGUGGACUCUCUUCUCCCUGCCUCUAUACCUUCCAAACUAGAAGAAAUAGGCUCCAUGGAGCAAAACCCACAGCUCCCCUUCCCAACCAGCAAACCCAUGGAAGCAACUACUAAGAAGUCCACUAGAUUCACCAAAAUGCACACCAUUCCGAGGUGCAUACCAUCUGAUCUAGCAAUGAGAGCAACUCGAUCAUCUCUACAUGAAAUAGAAGAGGAAACAGAGCUUCUACAAUUUACUAUAGCAGUCAUCUUGUCCACCAUCCUCUCUCUACUGUUUGAGACCUUACUCAUGCUGUUCAAUACCUUCUACCCUGAUAAGGCAGCCUGCAUAUAUAAAUACAUCACCAUGCCUAUUGCAACUAUUACCGAUCAUCUACCUGGCCCUCUAGAGAAGACCAAACCUCAUCUGAUACCAUUCUACCAAGAUCUAUGCCGUGCAAUUACAUCGGGAACUCUUGUGUGGAUAUUAGCAUUUUGGUUUCUCAUGCCAUCUACUGAAGGUUCAUUCCAACUUAGAUUUAAGAACUCCAUCCUAAUUCAUAUCAUCGCUACUGUGGUACUACACAUUGGCAAAGCAAUAAGCUAUAUUUGGUUCAAGAGUAUUGCUUUAAUUGCCAAUCACUUGAAAGAGAAGACAAAUGUUUGUUCAAAUGGAGAAGAGCCAUCUACUGAAGCCACUCAAACCAUUAAUGCACCUACUACUGUCUGAGGUAUUUGCAUUAUCUUUGCUGCAAGUAAUCAAUGUUUCCAAAAAAAAAAGCAGAACUUCAUCAAGUUACAAGCAGCAACAAUGCAUCUUAGUUUAUUUUAUCCAAGUUAGAAUAUGCAGUACCGCAGUGGAAACCCACUUUGGUAGAACGCGGUAUAAAUGCACAUCCCUCUUAGUGAUGAUUAGCAGUAACAAUAGCUGAAUCAUUCUGCAAGUAUUAGCUGUCAUUGUACUUUGAAGAACUCUAGCACUGUCUACACUCUGUGUACUAAGCUAAUAUUAUCAUGCACUAA